UUUAACGUCAAAAGUUAUUUAGGAUCAUCGCACCGAUGCUGAGCGUUGAGCAGUGAUGCAUUUUCUUGUGAAGCCGUGAUGCGUGGCGAAACGAAGUUGAAAGAACAAAUUUAUCAAGCUGCUUUACAAAAAGCCCAUACUAUAACAGGGUCAUUCAACGCAUGUCGGUAACAGUAAACAGCAGCUUUUGUAUUCUCUUCCUUCACUUCUAUCACCACUUAUAUCAGUGUUGGUGUUACUUGUGUAACAAAGCGGUUGUGGGCCAGGUGUACGUACUUGCAACAGUUGCGGCGUGUUUUGGUUGCGUAGUUUUCCAUACGGUUGAAAUCAGAAGUGCAUUGGUUCUGUGCUCGAUGUGAGCGGCUUGUGUACCUACGACGCUGCGUGCGUGCAGUUAGGGCUUGCACGCACUGCGAUGCAGUCGUGCUUGCAGUUUAGGCGAAAUGCUGCGCUGAAUGGCGAUGGAACUAUCUCUGACAACGCAGUCAAGUUACCAGUCAGCCUUCUUCUUCCCUUUGUGUUAUGCAACACCAGAGGCGAAGUCUGAUAGCGAGACAUCAUCAUUCUGUGAAAACCACGCUGCAACAUUACGAACGAGCUUGAGUGCCUUUGACUGCAGCGAUCGGGCUGCUUGUGCUCGAAGUUUAUGCUCUGAUACAGCAGCAUCGUGGCCGUCAACACCAUCUACAAAGAAGUCGCAUAAGCAUAAACUUGGAAAUGAACAUUCAAACCUAGUGUUAAAGAAGUUCUUACAGUCGUUGCAACGGGAUUCAAUGGAACCGACUGACGGCUACUCGCAAAGCACAUCGUACUCAGCGCCGCCAGCCUUGAUGUCGGCAUCACCCAGGACGUCGAUUGCAAGUUCGUUUAGCAGUGAGAGCAUACCGGUUGUGACUACUUCGCAA